UCACCUUCAUUGGCUGAGCCCAGUACUGAGGGCCAGAGGGAGCUGAAAAUACCUCUGAUGGGAGGUUGUCCUCCGACCACUUUCUGGGAGUUCAUAUCUCAUUGUCAUGCUCAUUAGAAAUGAGCAUUGAUGUAUCUGGUUAAAAUGGCAGGGGCAGAGGACAAGGUUGCCACCCUCCUGAGGGCAGCAUCAGUCAUAGCACCCAGUGAGGUCCAGCCUAGCUGGGCCCACUGGCCUGUGGUACCCAGUCCCGGUUCUGUUCGCGCAUUCACUGAGAAAGCAGAAGGAAUAGGAGAGCUGGCCUGACAACAGUUCACGUGAUAGAGACCUAACUUGACUUUGCUCCAGAAACAAAUCUAUGGUACUCUCCACUAGAAAAAAAAAUGAGCAUAAUUAUAUUACAAUGAUCAUUGUUAAAACUCUGAAGGGUAAAACCACCAACAAGCAAAACCCUGACAUAGUCUCAGAAUGCAUCAAGAAAAGCAGAAUAUCCAGCGCAUGAUAGGGUAACUGCACUCUGUUCCUCUCAGGGUAAACAACCAUCACCAGCAGCACUAUUGUUAGUAUUAACAAUAUCAUCGUUACUCUAAUCACCAUCUUAGCAUCAAGUACUCUGCUAAGCAUUUCAGAUGGAUUAAUUCAUAAUUUAUCAUCAAUCUCCACAGCAACACUAUGAGGUAGGUUUUUGUAUCCUCCUUAAAAGAAAAGAAAAGAAGAGAAAACUCAGCACAGGACUACUAAAUACGGAAGGAAGGUAUUAGAGAACCUUCGGGGCUCACAGCAUCCUCUCUGACCUAAGCUCUUCCCGCCCUUCUGUUCCACCAGCCCACGUGGGUCAACUGGUCCCCAGAUGGCUGCUGCAAACCCCAGCACGGAAAGCCGGCAGAAGGGAGCUUUGCCCUCCCUCCCUGGGUCUCUGAUGAGAGAGCCUUUCAGGACAUCUGCCAUCACAGCUCAUUGACCAGAAGUGGAUCCUGAACAAAUGAUCCCAGUGGGGAUGUAUUUUUAAAGCUCCAGGAUGCUUCUCAUGUGCAGUCUGGAUAGACAACCACUGGUCAAGAUUAAUUUAGAUUCACCGGCCGGGUCUCAGAAGGUGACAGAUGCCCCUGAGAGACAAGAUGACACAAGAUGCCAGGCACUGACCAACCUGGGUCGGGCUGGCAAAGAAGAAGGGGUGGGUGUUGCACCUCCCCGCCCUAGCCUCCCACAGCCACAUGGUGGGGAGUGGUUUCAUGGAGAGCAUGCCCGCCAGACUGAACUGAGGCGCCCUGAUGGCCCCUGUGCUCUUGGGGACGGUUCUGUUUCCAUCACAAACCUCUGGGCUCUUUGCUGGCAAGAGGGUGAUGACCAAUGCUUUUUCAAAUUAGAGGACGUUCUAUUGUAUUGUAGGGAGAUUUUCUGGGUGGCAAGAGAAUGACGGAUUUUCUAUCAAAGGGGCGGCUGCUGGGCAGAAGCUGAAUGACUGAGUGUUUCUGCUGCAAAACCCAUUCUAAGACAGGCCUCUAAGGCAAGUGUCAAAGAGAAAUCUGCAGAUUCUUUUAAGAGCCAAAGUUAGCCAGAUGUUUUCUCUCCUCUCCUCCCUUCUCUUUUCUUCCUUCCACCCACUCUCCCUCCCUCCCUCUCUCCUUACGCUGGUGAACUUUAUCCCAAUGAUCCGAGUCUGGUCAGGUCCUCUUGCCUUGCAGUCUCAUUGCUCCCUCUCCUCCUCCUUUAGGGUGACAACCUUUCAUGUCACAUGUUUAAGAUCUAUUAUUUUUUAAUAACGCUAUUAUUCUGUCCAGGCUCUCAGUGUCAAAAAGCAGGCACGAUGGCCUUUCUCAUCAUCUCCCCUUCUCUGGAGGCUAACACGAUGCCUGGCCCAUGCAAGGCACUGGGUGUUGAGGUGACUGUGGGCUGUUGGGUCUCCCAUAUCACAGCCUCAAAGCAUCCUGGGCCGAGGAUGCUGAAGCUGCCUCGGAAGGGAAAUAGGCAGCACUUCAGUGAUUACACGAACAUUGCGAAAGCAGGCUUGUGUGAGCUUCCAUAUCAGCCCCCAUCUGGAUGGGCUCUGAGAACCUGCCUGUCGAAGGAUUCCCAGGUGAGGCUGAUGCGGCUGACCUGGCACUUUGAGAACCAUGCUUGCUAACAUCUCCUGAAGGAGUGCGUUCUCUACCACAGGCAUGCACAAGCACUCCUCCUCAGGAUUUGUUGGAAAUGACUGAGUCAGCGCACAUGUCUCUCUGAAGGGAGGCUGGGCCCUCCGCCACAUCCCCCGGGAGGCGGGGGGGACCUGGAGUCCUGGGGAGACAGCACUCAGGGCCUGCGCUUGCUCAAUAGGGCUGGCCGGAAGCAUGACCCACCAGGCUGGCCAAGAGUCUCAAGCCAGCAGCCCUCCUCCGUGAGGUCAGGGCUGCCCAAGGGAAGCUCAGCAGUGGAGACCCUCACUUCUGGCAGCAGGGCUCCCACCUUGGGUCUUUGAUCGCAGUGCCGCUGACGGAGCCUUUAUCCGCCAGAGUGUGUCAUGGACCUUCUGCUCACCUUGCCUCAUCCCUGGACCUGCUCCACUUGGGCAACUUGCUCUGUCCUGAGUUUUCUGUGUCUGCAUUUGUGUUCUCUUUUUGGCCUGCUCAGAGUUCUCCUGGCAAUGGGGGAUGCAUUUGGAGGGGGGAAAAAAUUGGCAGGAAUAAUCACACCCUGCUUGAUUUCUGAGCUAAAAAUAGAUUCUCUGCAUUGUGCAGAAACCAGAGACCCCCAAAGUCCAGGGCAACAUCACUUCUCCCUCCAGCGGCAGCAACACCUGGAACUGCUGCUUAAUUAUUUCAGAAAUAACGGCAUGCCAUUUAGAGGGCUCCAGGAACCACACGAGGGACCUCACGUGUGGAUUUUGGCAGCUGCCAGUCACUCUGGGAUCCAGCCCAGAAGCUGAGGGUGCAUGAAGUUCAUCACUUAGGAGCGAUGUGACCUUGGGCAUGUUCUCUCUCCUCUCCAGGCCCGGAUUCGUCGUCAAUCCUGAGCAAAGAGGUUCACCCUGCCUGCCGACCACAGCCAAGGAGAAAGGACAUCCAAAUGGGGGAAGCAGCAGAGUUUUCUGUCUUCUUCUGCAGGAGAAAGCAAGUUCCGGUUAAUGUAACCUGUAAGAAUGUGACAAACAGCAGUUGGAAGGAUGUUCCUAUUUCAUUCCAUACGUCAUUGAACCAGAAUCAUUGGUCCUGGGUGCCCCAUCAGUAAGUUGGGGGAAGAUCUCAGAGCACGGAGGGGCAGCUUUCCAAGGGAGCUGGCACCACAGAGACAUUCCAGCCCUGCCUGGUUUUCCUUACACUACAGAGACCACUGAGCAUCCUGGGGCCUGUUCCCAUCUUUGAAUGUGAACCAGUUAAUUACUGCUGACAUAAACGAUGGCUGGCGCCUAGUUGCUGGCGCCCUGAAUUAAAGUCUCAGUUUUCCAGGUCUACGGAAUAGCGUGCAUGAAAUACCAACUUUUCUCACCGUCAUUCACAAGUGCCACCUCAAUCCCGUGAGCACUCAUUGCACUGUCAGAAGAAACAUGGGGCUCCGACUCUUAGGGCUGACUUUGGGGCUUCUCACCCUGACUGAUGGUGGUCAUGUGAAAAUACUUGACCGCAGUGCUGGGAAACCCUUUCUGGUCAGGUUAGGCUUCCUGCAGGAGUAGUGACAGUGCAGAGGCAGGGAACGUGGGCUUAGGGAGGAUGUGUGUGUACAUAUUGAAAGGGAAGUUGCUAGGGGCUCAUUCCUUCAUCCAACCAUUGAAUAAAGGACUGUUUUUCCCAGGAUACCAUUUCCUAAUGUUUUCUUGGAAGAGCAUUUUUUCUGUGGUCUGCUAAUAAGUUGGAUUGGGAAGAGAGAAGGAGCGAGGGAGGGAGAGAGGAGGAGGAAGAGAACGAGAGAGUUAGAAGGAGAGAAAGAAAAAAAGCUUUCCUUAGUCAAAUAAUUUUGGGAAAUCCUGGAAUAAACAGUGUUCAGUAUUUGUUUAAAAUGCAGAAUUUCUCAGUAUCUUUAAGAGGCUAACGUGCAUUAUGACUGCAAAGGAUAAAUAUGGUAUCUUGUAAUUAACAUGUUUUUCUGACAACAGAAUGGUUUUCUCCCUCUGUGAGCAUCCCAGGAAACCUGGGCUCUCUACUUCACUUGGGGGAAAAGAACACGCAGAGAGGAGGAGGAACUGGAUUCUGGGCUUUUAAGCAAAGUUUGCACACAGUUGGAAGCAAUUCCAGGUGAUUCAAUAGGCAGGUUGGUAGGCAGUGAGUAGGUAGUCAGUCUGCAGGUAAACCUCCUUCCUCCAGGCAGCUCCACGCGCGCAUUCUGCCUCGGCGGCCCCUGUCCUCGUGUGCUCCGUGCAGCCUUUCUCUGCUCCCAGUUCCCAUGGUAGAAUAUACAGCCCCACAGGUCCUGUCUGCACCUGUUAGAGGACUGGCCUGAAGCUGAGACCAUCCAUCCUGCUCCUUGUCCUAGUCUCAAAUCCUAGAAGAUAGAAUCUGACUCCUCCAGCUUGAGUCUGUCCUUGCUCUCAUCUGCUCGGGGUGAAUACCCAUGGGCAAGAGGAGACCCUGCAUCUUCACAUCUGCAUGGUUUCAUUGAGAUGGACAGACAACACCUAUCUUUGGUUCUUUUGGCAAGCUGAAAUAAGUUGGGGGGAUUUAUGGAAAAGCUCCUGGAGUGUCUUGUGAAAUUGAGGCAACAGCUAAACAGCCAACAUUUGGCAAAGGCAAUAACCAAAAGAGCCGCUGGGGAGUUCCUUGGUAGAAGCCAAAGGCCAUAAAACUGGGUUCAAGAGCUGUGCUGUCUGAUAGUCACUGGCUAGUAAACUUAAAUAUAAAUUUAAGUAAACGUAAAAAGUUCCUUAGGCACAGUAGACUCUUUUCAGGGACUCGGUAUCCAUGUGUGGCUAGUGUAUUGAACAGUGCAAGCUGAAGAACAUUCUACAGCAAAGCACUGCUCUAGACUGAUGCAUUAAAGUGGCUCUAUCCACGACACUCCCACUGAUUCCAGUUUUCUAGAAAGAUAAUUUGAUGGACCACAUUUAGAUUGUACUUAUGUACUGGCACAGUCAACUAUGACAAGGGAGGACAGUGUCCUUCAAUACAGGCCUUGCCUAGCUGGUUGUCUGACCGGGGUGGGAUGCAGAAGAGACCCAUCCCAGAAAAGGUAUGGUAAUGCCACCUCCUAGACUCAUCAGACAGGGUUUUAACAGCACUGCCCUGCGUAAGGUCUCCUAGAACUUCCUGUUCACACCCCCCUAGCAGCCUGCACUGAUGAAAUGGAGAAUCUGGCACACCCCCUGCCUGUGUCUUGUUCGUGACAUUCAUACUGCCUUCUUUCACAUUCCUCUUUUACAAAUCUCAUUUAUUAGGAAAAGUGUUUAUGUUCUCAUUCAUUUUAGAUAGCAUUCUUGGAAGCAUCCUAAUAAAUAUCAACCCUUUUUAAGAAGUCCCACUGGGCAUGUUAAUAGGAACAAAAGACAAAACAAAACACCAUGUUUGUCUCUUCAUCUCGAGGUAUAACCCAGUGUAUCUGGGGCUGUGUUCGCCACAGGGAUGAUUGAUUUUAAAUCUAGCGAACCCUCUGAAUACAUGAUGCGAUUUUUAGAACAGAGGAGGGACAGAGAGGCCAGGGAGGUUUCAUGUAGGAGCUUUUGUCCCUUCUAUGAAAAGCAUCUGCACUAAUAACAAAGAAACUGAAUGCACAAAACUAAUUAUUGGAGUCAUUUUUAAUUAACCCAGCUGGCUAAUGUAAUCCCUGGAACAUUUGUUCAUGCAUAGGAGCUUUAUCUUGAGGACGAAAUCAUCAUUGGCUUUUGUACUCAUUGGAUCUGUAUUGACGGGGCAUCAUCAAAUCCUUCUAUUGAGUGGAUGUGUUUGUACAACUAGGUCAGUAAGCGGGCUGAGGGAUUUAAUUUCUCCUUGAGUUUGUCUCCCUGUAGACUUCCUUUUUUAGGUUUCCCACAGAACCUCAAGUCUUAUGUCUCAUGGUGUCUAAUUGCUAUACGUAUGUAUCGUGGGUCCUCAAAGACACCCUCAGCCCAGGAGUUGCAGUGCAUCACCUGUCUUCACGUUAUGAGGAUGCAGACUCAUGAAAACCUUCUGAGGGGCAGUUUUCAGCCUUGAGUGCACAUUAGAAUUGCCUGAGGAGCUUUUUAAAAAACCCAACCUAGCUGCCCUCUAGACCAAUUAAAUCAAAAUGUCUAAGGGAGAGACCAGCAUGAGUAAUUUUUAUAGCUCCCCAGGUGAACGCAAAAACAGUAGCAAGUUAGUGGACAGCAGUGUGAGCACUGCCUGGAGUCUGUUAGAAAUGCAGGCCCCCUGACUGCCAGACCUACUGAAUAGGAACCUGCAUUCUGCUGAGAUACCCCAGGUCUGUCAUAAGUAUACUCAAAAUUGAUAGAGCUUGAGCAUGCAUGAGAAAUAAGUGGAAGACUUGAUAAAAUGCAGAGUGCUGGGCCCCAAGCCCAGAGUUGCAGAUUCAAGGUCAGAGUGAGGUUUUGUAUUGUGAUGUAAAUGCAGGUGAUCACAGGAAAUGCUCAUACCAUGCAGGAGCCACAUAUUAAGAAGCACUGCUCUCUAAACGGGAUAAAUAUUGUGCCUCAUUUAUUCUCCCAGUAUUUGGGAAGGAAGCACAAUAUUUUGAGACACAGGGCAUAUUUAGUGAAUAAGGAAUUCAUCUACCUUCAUGGAACUUUAAUUCUAGAGGACGUCCAGAUAAUAAACAACUAAAUACUGAAAUAUUGCAGAUCACUUUAAGUCUUGAUAAAAAAAUAUAUAUAGGCUGGGUGAGAUAGAGGAUGCUAUUUUAGGUUAAAUGGUUAGGUAAGAAGUCUGUGAAGCACUGCCAUUGAGCAAAGACCUGAUGGAUGAGGGUUUGAAAAGCACAAUAAAGAACAGGAGAAACAGCUCUAGGCAGAAGAAAAAGAAAAUAGAAAUGCCCUGACACCAAGGUAGGCUUAGAAAACUCCUGGCAGGAUGGGAAGGCCUGGGGAUAGAGGCUCCUCCUCCACAGACCCCUGGCUGAAUGAUGUGGGGAAUCCUACCUUUCUUUUCAUGGCCGGUUUUACUCACCAGGCUUCCCUUAUAGAAUUCUUUGGAAGGCUAAAAUUUUAUCAAGAACUUUGUUCAUGCUCUAUACGUACUGAGGUUACACUUGCCUGAUGGCAUCAGCUCUCCAAGGGGGAAAGAAAACAGGACUUUCCAACAGCAGUGGGUGAGCCAUCCGUCUCUACUGGACCUUGUAAUAGAAACAUAUGAAGGAUGCAGUGAUUUCACUGCCAUCCAGGAAACCCACUGAGACAUGGGACGGAAAAUAGCAGGAGGAAAUAGAGAAGAAUGAAGAGAUGGACCAGAGGAGGCUGCAUCAGUAUGACGUAUGGGGUGGGAGUCAUGCCAUCAAGAUGGUAACAGGCAGAGUUCCCAGUUUCUCCCUCUCAGAAGAACAACUAACAACUUCAUGGACCAGACACCACUGAGCGCAUCCUAGAACAGGGAAGUGAGGCCAAAGCACUCUCUGCAGUACAGAGUCCGCAGCGGACGACAUGAGAAGGGUAAGAGGAACUUACCCACGUUGGCCACACUGCCCUCCCCACAUGGGCACAGUACCACACCGAGAGGUCCCUCCUCUGAGCCUGCGCUUCCUGCAGUGAGUAAAGAGGGCCCCAGUUGGACAUCCAGCUGCCCCAGCAAUGUGGAUAACUUCUUGGAGAGUCCCUACUCUUGCCCAGUGAAAAUCAGGUUGUGUUGGAUAAGAGGGGAGGAGCUGGAACAGCCAACACAUGGGUCUUGGCAGACUGUGUUCCUACCUGCAGUGCCCAAGUAGACAUCCUGACACUAGCCUCACUCAUCAGCAGAGCACAGAUGGGGGUGUCAUCUGAAAGCUCAACUCAGUGGGGUACAAAUCUGUCUGAUUUGGGGCCUCACAUGAAAAGCCUCGCUGGAGCCUCUCUCCUCCUCCCCCAGCAGGGGAGAUAAUUCAUAGUCCUGCCAAUGCUGCAUAUAGCUCCUGGCCCUGCCCAACCAGGAAGCCUAAGCACCUGGAAAAUAGUUUGGCAGAGCAGCCCCCGAGCAGACAGCCUGGCCAAUGGUUCAGCCCAUCUGCAGAGCCCAUCUGGCCAAAGAGUUUGGUGGACAGGUCUGCUUGAUUAGCUCCCCAAAGGAGUCUUACCAGCCUUGAGCCUAUUGUGUCACACCCUCACACCCCCUCCCUCCCUGCACAGAGAAACUGAUCUGUAGCCCCACCCAGUGCUGCCUACAGCUUCCAACCCUGCUAACAAAAUACCCUAACAAGCACUCCUGGGAAUCUUGGUAGCAGUAUCCUGCAGCCCUGAUGAUGGUGGCCCAUCCUGUCCAGGAAGCUUAUUUAGCAUACAGGUGUGUCUCUUUUUAGAAAUCAACUGAGCCCUUGUUGGGCCUGGAUCCUAUUCUGCAGGUUGACUGAUCAGGAAAGCUAAAGUAAAGUAUAGCCCCACCCAGAGCUGAAUACAGCCUUCUCAACAAGGAAACCUAAUCACAGUUCCCAGGAAUCAGGUAGCCCAUCUUGCAAUUCCAAUUAUACUGCCACAAGAACAUGGUCAGUGGCCCAAACCUAUCUACAGAGCCAGGACAGUGGCUAUUGAGGCCAGGCAACUUGGUACAUAGUUGUGCCUAAUUAAACAUCCAAACAAGACCUUUGCCUACCUUAUAUCCUAUAAAGAGCCCUGCAUGGACAGAAAAACUAAAUUGCAGCCCCACUCACCACCCAGUACAGCCUUCAGCCUACCACCCAGGGGAUCUAAACAGAACACCUAGGAGACCAUGGAGCCUAGCUUACAGUGACACUCAGCAAAUCCCAGGGCUGUCUCUAUCUACAGAGAAAAAUGGUAGUCCUGGCCAGCCAGGAAAUUCAGUUUAUAGUCUUGCCUGGUUCAGUUCCCAAAAAAUGAGCUAUACAGGCCUUAGUACCUUUUCUGCUGCCCCAUCAGCAGAAAGCUAAUUCAUAGCCCUGUCUUCUGCUGAAUGUAAUACCUAGUCCCAAUUAGGAAGCCUGAUAAGAGAACCUAGACAAUAGCUGAGCCCAUCAUAUAGCCUCAUUUGGGCAGGGAACCAAACCAGCAGUGGCAACACCUCACCACCUCAGAGCUUGGAAAGAAGCCUUGCCUAAAUAGACCUUGACAAGCUGCACCCGCCCAAGGACAUUAUAAACUGACAAAUGCAGAAAACCAAGAAAUGGUCUGGUAAAGGAGAGGAGACUACGUAGUCAAAUGGGCAGAUACCAACCUAAGGAAUCAAGACUAAAACACACAAAAAAAUAUAAUCAUUACACCACAAGAAACUAAUAAAGCACCAAUAACUGACUCUAAAGAAAUGGAGACCUAUAAACUCUCAAAGAAUUCAGAAUACUGCUCUUUAAAAAAGUUUAGUAAAUGACAUGCACCCACAGAGAGACAACUAAAUGAAAUUAGGAAAACAAUUCAUGAACAAAACAAGUUCAACAAACAAAUCCCAAAGGAAAAAAUACAUUGAGUAAACUAUAAAAUUCAAUAGAGAGUAUAAAUAGUAGAUUCAUCCAUGCAGAAGAAAGAAUCAGUGAUCUAAAAAAGACAGGGCAUUUGAAAUUAUCCAGUCAGAGGAACAAAAGAACAAAGUGAAAAGGAGUGAAGAAGGCUUGCAGGGCAAUUGGGACAAAGUUAAAAGAAAAAUCUAUGUUAUGGGAAUCCCAGAAAGGGAAGAAAAAAGGAAAAUAUAUCUAAAGCAAUAAUAGUUGAAAAUGUUGCAAACGUGGGGAAGAGACAUGGACAUCUAGAUCCAUGAGGCCUAAAGAAUCCUUAAUCGUUUGAACCCCAAUAGGGCUACACUGAGAUACCUUAUAAUUAAAUUGUCAAAAGACAAAGAAAUUUGAAAGCAGCAAAGGCAAAGAGAGAAGUUACAUAAAAGGGAACCUCCUUAAGACUAUAUAUGCAUUUUUCUAUAGAAACUCAGGCCAGGAGAGGAUGAGAU